GAUGAACGCUGGCGGCGUGCUUAACACAUGCAAGUCGAACGAGGUAUAUUGGAAUGAGUUCUUCGGAACAAAUGAAUUUAUACUUAGUGGCGGACGGGUGAGUAACGCGUGGAUAACCUGCCUUACACUGGGGGACAACAGUUAGAAAUGACUGCUAAUACCGCAUAAGCGCACAGUACCGCAUGGUACGGUGUGAAAAACUCCGGUGGUGUAAGAUGGACCCGCGUCUGAUUAGCUAGUUGGUGAGGUAAUGGCUCACCAAGGAGACGAUCAGUAGCCGGACGGAGAGGGUGAACGGCCACAAUGGGACGGAGACACUGCCCAGGCUCCUGCGGGAGGCAGCAGUGGGGAAUAUUGCACAAUAGGCGAAAGCCUGAUGCAGCGACGCCGCGUGAGCGAAGAAGUAUUUCGGUAUGUAAAGCUCUAUCAGCAAGGAAGAUAGUGACGGUACUUGACUAAGAAGCCCCGGCUAACUACGUGCCAGCAGCCGCAGUAA
rnacentral:rRNA from 1 species